rnacentral:rRNA from 1 species
UGGGGAAUAUUGCACAAUGGGCGAAAGCCUGAUGCAGCAACGCCGCGUGAGCGAUGAAGGCCUUCGGGUCGUAAAGCUCUGUCCUAAGGGAAGAAUAAUUGACGGUACCUUAGGAGGAAGCCCCGGCUAACUACGUGCCAGCAGCCGCGGUAAUACGUAGGGGGCUAGCGUUAUCCGGAAUUACUGGGCGUAAAGGGUGCGUAGGCGGUCUUGUAAGUCAGAGGUGAAAGGCUACGGCUCAACCGUAGUAAGCCUUUGAAACUACAAGACUUGAGUGCAGGAGAGGAGAGUAGAAUUCCUAGUGUAGCGGUGAAAUGCGUAGAUAUUAGGAGGAAUACCAGUUGCGAAGGCGGCUCUCUGGACUGUAACUGACGCUGAGGCACGAAAGCGUGGGGAGCGAACA